UAGAGUUUGAUCCUGGCUCAGAUUGACCCUUUGCGGCAUGCUUAACACAUGCAAGUCGAACGCGAACGGGCUUUGGCCCAAGUAGAGUGGCGGACGGGUGAGUAAUGCGUGGGAAUCUACCCUCGAGCGGGGGACAACCCGGGGAAACCCGGGCUAAUACCGCAUACGUCCUACGGGAGAAAGCGGGCCUCUACACUAUGCUCGCACUCGAGGAUGAGCCCACGUCCGAUUAGCUAGUUGGUAGGGUAACGGCCUACCAAGGCCACGAUCGGUAGCUGGUCUGAGAGGAUGAUCAGCCACACUGGGACUGAGACACGGCCCAGACCCCUACGGGAGGCAGCAGUGGGGAAUAUUGGACAAUGGGCGCAAGCCUGAUCCAGCAAUGCCGCGUGUGUGAAGAAGGCCUGCGGGUUGUAAAGCACUUUCAGUGGGGAAGAACGGAUACGGGCCAAUACCCCGCAUCACUGA
rnacentral:rRNA from 1 species